CGGGGGAGCAAGCGUUGUUCGGAUUCAUUGGGCGUAAAGAGCUCGUAGGUGGCUUUGUAAGUCGGAGGUGAAAUCCCACGGCUCAACCGUGGACACGCCUUCGAUACUGUGAAGCUUGAGGCUGGGAGAGGGAAUCGGAAUUCCUGGUGUAGCGGUGAAAUGCGUAGAUAUCAGGAGGAACACCGGUGGCGAAGGCGGAUUCCUGGACCAGUUCUGACACUGAGGAGCGAAAGCUAGGGGAGCAAACAGGAUUAGAUACCCUGGUAGUCCUAGCUGUAAACGAUGGGCACUAGGUGUGGGGGGAUCGACCCCUUCCGUGCCGCAGUUAACGCAUUAAGUGCCCCGCCUGGGGAGUACGACCGCAAGGUUG
rnacentral:rRNA from 1 species